rnacentral:rRNA from 1 species
GACGAACGCUGGCGGCGUGCUUAACACAUGCAAGUCGAACGGUGAUGCUCCAGCUUGCUGGAGUGGAUCAGUGGCGAACGGGUGAGUAACACGUGAGCAACCUUCCCCAGACUCUGGUAUAAGUGCUGGAAACGGCGUCUAAUACUGGAUACGAAACUGGCCCGCAUGGGCAUGGUUUGGAAAGUUGUUCGGUUUGGGAUGGGCUCGCGGCCUAUCAGCUUGUUGGUGCGGUAAUGGCUCACCAAGGCGACGACGGGUAGCCGGCCUGAGAGGGCGACCGGCCACACGGGGAGUGAGGCACGGCCCAGAAGCAUACGGGAGCCAGCAGGGGGGAAUAGUGCACAUUGGGGGAAAGCCUGAUGCAGAGACGCCGCGUGAGGGAUGACAGCCGUCGGGUUGUAAACCGCUUUCAGCAGGAAAGAAGCGAAAGUGACGGUACCGGCUGGAGAAGCACCGGCUAGCUACGUG